AUUUGCCUUCUUGUUAGAAAAUGCUAUAGGAAGAGAAGCAGCCCACGGGAACUGGGCUCUGAUGUGGUUGGCCAUGAAGUACUCAAACCAAUCAAUAAUAUAAAAUUAUAUAAGAGUGUAAAUGAAGGCUCUGGACUGAAUAAUUUUAAUUCCAUCUCUGCUAAUAUUGAAGGAAUGAUAAGGAUAAAGAAUGGCUAAGACUCCAUUACCAGGCCAUUAAGGCAUCUCAUCAACCACCAUGUCCUUGAAAAGUUAAUUUUGUUUUAUCUCCGGAUCCAAGAGGCUUCACACGACAAUGGCAGUUGAAAGCUUCCCAGUUCCUAGAACAUGGAUACAUGCAUCCAAGAUAAGUAUAUCCUAUUGUGGCCGAAUUAAUAGUGAAGCUGCAGUUAAAAAACUUCGUCAAGAAUGAGCAAUCGGUGCAUUUGGCAGAGAGACUAAAGUACACACCAUCUUCCACCCCGAUGCCCUCGCCUCCGCUGCUCCUGAGGGGAGUUCACCUUUGAGGAAAUGGACAAAAGAAUCGACGAGGAGCUGGAUGGGCC
rnacentral:lncRNA from 1 species